GAUGAACGCUCGCGAUAGGCUUAACACAUGCAAGUCGAGGGGCAGCGAGGGUAGCAAUACCUGUCGGCGACCGGCGCACGGGUGAGUAACGCGUAUGUAACCUGCCCGCAACAGGGGGAUAACCCGGCGAAAGUCGGACUAAUACCGCAUAAAACAGGGGUCCCGCAUGGGAAUAUUUGUUAAAGAUUUAUCGGUUGCGGAUGGGCAUGCGUACCAUUAGGUAGUUGGUGAGGUAACGGCUCACCAAGCCUUCGAUGGUUAGGGGUUCUGAGAGGAAGGUCCCCCACACUGGUACUGAGACACGGACCAGACUCCUACGGGAGGCAGCAGUGAGGAAUAUUGGUCAAUGGGCGAGAGCCUGAACCAGCCAAGUCGCGUGAAGGAGGACUGCCCUAUGGGUUGUAAACUUCUUUUACAAGGGAAUAAAAUGAGAUACGUGUAUUUUAUUGCAUGUACCUUGGGAAUAAGCAUCGGCUAACUCCGUG
rnacentral:rRNA from 1 species